GCCUGAUUAGCUCAGUCGGCAGAGCGCAAGACUCUUAAUCUUGUGGUCAAGGGUUCGAGCCCCUUAUCAGGCA
rfam:Micromonas pusilla CCMP1545 genomic scaffold MICPTCscaffold_14, whole genome shotgun sequence.